CGGAGCGUGGCGCAGCCUGGUAGCGCACUUGACUGGGGGUCAAGGGGUCGCACGUUCGAAUCGUGUCGCUCCGACCA
rnacentral:tRNA from 1 species